rnacentral:rRNA from 1 species
AGUGAACGCUGGCGGCAGGCCUAACACAUGCAAGUCGAACGGCAGCGGGUCAGUAGCAAUACUGAUGCCGGCGAGUGGCGGACGGGUGAGGAAUACAUCGGAAUCUACCUUGUCGUGGGGGAUAACGUAGGGAAACUUACGCUAAUACCGCAUACGAACUAUGGUUGAAAGCGGCGGACCGCAAGGCGUCGCGCGAUUGGAUGAGCCGAUGUCCGAUUAGCUAGUUGGCGGGGUAAAGGCCCACCAAGGCGACGAUCGGUAGCUGGUCUGAGAGGAUGAUCAGCCACACUGGAACUGAGACACGGUCCAGACUCCUACGGGAGGCAGCAGUGGGGAAUAUUGGACAAUGGCGCAAGCCUGAUCCAGCCAUGCCGCGUGUGUGAAGAAGGCCUCGG